UACGGGGGGGGCAAGCGUUGUUCGGAAUUACUGGGCGUAAAGGGCGCGUAGGCGGCCUGUUAAGUCGAACGUGAAAGCCCCGGGCUCAACCUGGGAAUUGCAUUUGAGACUGCGUAGCUAGGGUGCGGAAGAGGGAAGCGGAAUUUCCGGUGUAGCGGUGAAAUGCGUAGAUAUCGGAAGGAACACCAGUGGCGAAAGCGGCUUCCUGGUCCAGCACCGACGUUCAGGCACGAAAGCGUGGGGAGCAAACAGG
rnacentral:rRNA from 1 species